rnacentral:rRNA from 1 species
UACCGCGGUUAUACGAACUAUGGCCCAAGUUGACAAAACUCGGCGUAAAGAGUGGUUAAGGAUAAAAACAGAUUAAAGACGAAAACUACCCGGGCAGUAAUACGCUUCCGGUAAAAGUGUAAGCCCCACCACGAAAGUGACUUUAUUAAACCUGACCCCACGACAGCUAAAAAA